GAUGAACGCUAGCAGCAGGCCUAAUACAUGCAAGUCGAACGGUGUCUUCGGACAUAGUGGCGCACGGGUGCGUAACACGUAUGCAACCUACCUUACAUUGGGGGAUAGCCUUUCGAAAGGGAGAUUAAUACCGCAUAAGACAGUAGCUGGGCAUCCAGCAGCUGUUAAAGAUUUAUCGAUGUAAGCUGGGCAUGCGUCCAAUUAGCUAGUUGGUGAGGUAACGGCUCACCAAGGCAAUGAUUGGUAGGGGAACUGAGAGGUCAAUCCCCCACACUGGACCUGAGAUACGGGCCAGACUCCUACGGGAGGCAGCAGUAGGGAAUAUUGGGCAAUGGACGCAAGUCUGACCCAGCCAUGCCGCGUGCAGGAUGAAGGCGUUAUGCGUUGUAAACUGCUUUUAUACAGGAAGAAACGACUCUUGCGAGAGGCAUUGACGGUACUGUAUGAAUAAGCACCGGCUAACUCCGUGCCAGCAGCCGCCGUAACAC
rnacentral:rRNA from 1 species